GCUGAUGCCCUGCUGAAAUAAGACCUUCACUGUAAUCCCAUCUCCAGUCUAACAUGCUGUUACCAGUUGUUCCAUAUCUUGCUUUUUCCACUCAAAGAAACCAUAUUUUAUGGCCCCCACCACCAACAGUCUCUGAGGCUGCUUUCUAUGCAUGCAGUGAAGAAAGCUCAUCCUCCUGCUAGAUUUCUGUCUCUGUUGCAGUUUAACUGCAGCGUUCUCCCCCUCCCUGCCAUGACUUUGUCUAUUUUCCUCAAGACUUUAGGCUGCAAAACACACCGCUCGCUCUCCAAGUCUUUGUUUUGCUCAGCGUGAGGGCACUGGGGCUCAUGCAGCAGACUCCCGUGGGGAUUUAUGUUUAUACCUGUGACUAACGCAGCCACUUCUUGCCGACUAGUUUUGCUCCAGACUUCUCUAACUGACUGUUCAAAAGCUCUGUGCAAGUACCACAGGCACCUGUACAGCCCCYUCCUCUGCCUGGCUUCACGGUACAAGUUAGGGAACCCAUUAGCACUUGCAUUUUAAACUUAGUUAACUGCUGCUAGGCUCCACCAAAGUUAAGUAUUCCCUGUAAUACUGAGUUGAGCUACAGAAUAUAAAGGAGCACUUUAAUUUGCUAUCAUUUGAGAGCUUUAAAUUGAAAGUAUCUACUAGGUUAAAGCUGUACUUUGAGAUAAAGAAGAUAAAAUAAACUGAAUAAAUAAAACAGGAACGCUUSCUUGUUCUCUUUUGCAACAAAACUCUUCUUACCUUAGUCUCAGUCCUCAGGGUCUCUGUACUUUGGGAAAAAUCUCAUGUGUAUCAGCUGCUGCUAUUAUAGGUUAUUACUGGCACACACAUGUAAAAUAUUUACAUGAUGAUAAUACCCUACAGGCAGGCUUCACCUCCACGCAAAGAGAAUCAAAAAGACACGAAAAGUUGAUAACCAAGAAAGAUGUACCAAGCUCGGGAAGGAAACUGAACCUCGCGACAAGAGAAAAAGGAAGCGCUGGAACGGGCAGGUCGGAGGCAGCUGGAGAGGGGAGGCAGCCUGCAGAAAACACGGCAAAACCUGACGAUGGCAGAGUCUUAAAUCUCCUUAUAGAUGGAAGUGAAGUGACCAAAGUGCAAAAGAGAAAGCAACCUGGAAAAAAGGGAAAGCAAUUGUGGAAAGACUGCUGGCCAAAUGAUAAAGUAAGAUUUUUUGCUUAUUCACCAAAAAAACCCUAUAUUUUCCUUAAGUUGUUAAUUACCAUACAAACAUCACCAGAUAUAAAACACAUAAAAAUGCUUUACAGUCAAGAUGGGCAAAAACAUACUACAUACAGCAUUUUUCUUAUAAGAAAUACACUGAAGGCAUUAUUUAUUAACUUGUUAGCAUAUACUGGAGAACCAAUUCUAUGGCUAUUUUAUAAAAGCAGAAUGAAAAGUGAAAAACUGUGUGUACGCAGGAUAUAGUGAACUUGGUCUGAUUUUUCUCUCUUCUACCCCUGACAGUUAUUUUAAUGAUAAAUUCCCAAAUCACAUGCUUCAGUUUUAGAUUUUAAAGUGUUUUUGAGCACUUUUUGAGCUGCUCACUGCACUCUUCAGAUCAAAAGAAACACACAGGACAAAGAAUAAAAUUGAGUAUUAGAGUAAGACA
ensembl:lncRNA